GGGUUGUGAGGUUAAGCGACUAAGCGUACACGGUGGAUGCCCUGGCAGUCAGAGGCGAUGAAGGACGUGCUAAUCUGCGAUAAGCGUCGGUAAGGUGAUAUGAACCGUUAUAACCGGCGAUUUCCGAAUGGGGAAACCCAGUGUGAUUCGUCACACUAUCAUUAACUGAAUCCAUAGGUUAAUGAGGCGAACCGGGGGAACUGAAACAUCUAAGUACCCCGAGGAAAAGAAAUCAACCGAGAUUCCCCCAGUAGCGGCGAGCGAACGGGGAGCAGCCCAGAGCCUGAAUCAGUGUGUGUGUUAGUGGAAGCGUCUGGAAAGGCGUGCGAUACAGGGUGACAGCCCCGUACACAAAAAUGCACAUACUGUGAGCUCGAUGAGUAGGGCGGGACACGUGGUAUCCUGUCUGAAUAUGGGGGGACCAUCCUCCAAGGCUAAAUACUCCUGACUGACCGAUAGUGAACCAGUACCGUGAGGGAAAGGCGAAAAGAACCCCGGCGAGGGGAGUGAAAAAGAACCUGAAACCGUGUACGUACAAGCAGUGGGAGCACGCUUAGGCGUGUGACUGCGUACCUUUUGUAUAAUGGGUCAGCGACUUAUAUUCUGUAGCAAGGUUAACCGAAUAGGGGAGCCGAAGGGAAACCGAGUCUUAACUGGGCGUUAAGUUGCAGGGUAUAGACCCGAAACCCGGUGAUCUAGCCAUGGGCAGGUUGAAGGUUGGGUAACACUAACUGGAGGACCGAACCGACUAAUGUUGAAAAAUUAGCGGAUGACUUGUGGCUGGGGGUGAAAGGCCAAUCAAACCGGGAGAUAGCUGGUUCUCCCCGAAAGCUAUUUAGGUAGCGCCUCGUGAAUUCAUCUCCGGGGGUAGAGCACUGUUUCGGCAAGGGGGUCAUCCCGACUUACCAACCCGAUGCAAACUGCGAAUACCGGAGAAUGUUAUCACGGGAGACACACGGCGGGUGCUAACGUCCGUCGUGAAGAGGGAAACAACCCAGACCGCCAGCUAAGGUCCCAAAGUCAUGGUUAAGUGGGAAACGAUGUGGGAAGGCCCAGACAGCCAGGAUGUUGGCUUAGAAGCAGCCAUCAUUUAAAGAAAGCGUAAUAGCUCACUGGUCGAGUCGGCCUGCGCGGAAGAUGUAACGGGGCUAAACCAUGCACCGAAGCUGCGGCAGCGACGCUUAUGCGUUGUUGGGUAGGGGAGCGUUCUGUAAGCCUGCGAAGGUGUGCUGUGAGGCAUGCUGGAGGUAUCAGAAGUGCGAAUGCUGACAUAAGUAACGAUAAAGCGGGUGAAAAGCCCGCUCGCCGGAAGACCAAGGGUUCCUGUCCAACGUUAAUCGGGGCAGGGUGAGUCGACCCCUAAGGCGAGGCCGAAAGGCGUAGUCGAUGGGAAACAGGUUAAUAUUCCUGUACUUGGUGUUACUGCGAAGGGGGGACGGAGAAGGCUAUGUUGGCCGGGCGACGGUUGUCCCGGUUUAAGCGUGUAGGCUGGUUUUCCAGGCAAAUCCGGAAAACUAAGGCUGAGGCGUGAUGACGAGGCACUACGGUGCUGAAGCAACAAAUGCCCUGCUUCCAGGAAAAGCCUCUAAGCAUCAGGUAACAUCAAAUCGUACCCCAAACCGACACAGGUGGUCAGGUAGAGAAUACCAAGGCGCUUGAGAGAACUCGGGUGAAGGAACUAGGCAAAAUGGUGCCGUAACUUCGGGAGAAGGCACGCUGAUAUGUAGGUGAAGUCCCUCGCGGAUGGAGCUGAAAUCAGUCGAAGAUACCAGCUGGCUGCAACUGUUUAUUAAAAACACAGCACUGUGCAAACACGAAAGUGGACGUAUACGGUGUGACGCCUGCCCGGUGCCGGAAGGUUAAUUGAUGGGGUUAGCGCAAGCGAAGCUCUUGAUCGAAGCCCCGGUAAACGGCGGCCGUAACUAUAACGGUCCUAAGGUAGCGAAAUUCCUUGUCGGGUAAGUUCCGACCUGCACGAAUGGCGUAAUGAUGGCCAGGCUGUCUCCACCCGAGACUCAGUGAAAUUGAACUCGCUGUGAAGAUGCAGUGUACCCGCGGCAAGACGGAAAGACCCCGUGAACCUUUACUAUAGCUUGACACUGAACAUUGAGCCUUGAUGUGUAGGAUAGGUGGGAGGCUUUGAAGUGUGGACGCCAGUCUGCAUGGAGCCGACCUUGAAAUACCACCCUUUAAUGUUUGAUGUUCUAACGUUGACCCGUGAUCCGGGUUGCGGACAGUGUCUGGUGGGUAGUUUGACUGGGGCGGUCUCCUCCUAAAGAGUAACGGAGGAGCACGAAGGUUGGCUAAUCCUGGUCGGACAUCAGGAGGUUAGUGCAAUGGCAUAAGCCAGCUUGACUGCGAGCGUGACGGCGCGAGCAGGUGCGAAAGCAGGUCAUAGUGAUCCGGUGGUUCUGAAUGGAAGGGCCAUCGCUCAACGGAUAAAAGGUACUCCGGGGAUAACAGGCUGAUACCGCCCAAGAGUUCAUAUCGACGGCGGUGUUUGGCACCUCGAUGUCGGCUCAUCACAUCCUGGGGCUGAAGUAGGUCCCAAGGGUAUGGCUGUUCGCCAUUUAAAGUGGUACGCGAGCUGGGUUUAGAACGUCGUGAGACAGUUCGGUCCCUAUCUGCCGUGGGCGCUGGAGAACUGAGGGGGGCUGCUCCUAGUACGAGAGGACCGGAGUGGACGCAUCACUGGUGUUCGGGUUGUCAUGCCAAUGGCACUGCCCGGUAGCUAAAUGCGGAAGAGAUAAGUGCUGAAAGCAUCUAAGCACGAAACUUGCCCCGAGAUGAGUUCUCCCUGACUCCUUGAGAGUCCUGAAGGAACGUUGAAGACGACGACGUUGAUAGGCCGGGUGUGUAAGCGCAGCGAUGCGUUGAGCUAACCGGUACUAAUGAACCGUGAGGCUUAACCUUACAACGCCGAAGCUGUU
rnacentral:rRNA from 1 species